UGCCUAAAACAUUACCUUCAAACUAAAAACAUUUUUAUAACCCUCUACCUUUAUCUGUAAAGAAUUUUAUAAAUUAAAAAUAGUAAGUAUUUCAUGUACCUUGCGCAUCAUGGUUUAACAAGUUACCAAAAAUCCAUUUUCCCCUCGAACUUAUUUUGAGCUAAAAGCCUUAUGUUAAUUUUAGAACCCACUCUAUACUGUUGCAAUACUAAGAGAAUAAAGGCUUUUAGAGGCUACAUACCAAUCGCAAAUAAAGAUAGCUAGUUUCUUGUGAAAUUAAUUUUAGUUACGGAAACUACAGACAUUACACAACUUAAAAUCAGUAGUUUUCUAAAAAAUAGUAGGUUAAUCUACUAUUUUACCUCUUACUCCCUCCUUUUAUUAUUAUAUUCUUAUAAGCUUCAAACCAGCUACUAAUAUAAAUCUCGUUCUAGACUUCUCAAAAAAAUCUCUUUUUCCAAAGUACCUGCCCAAACAAGAUAUUAUUUAUAUUUAAUAAAUUUCAAACACUGUAUAAAAUAAUUAUUAUCUCUUAUUUUCCUAAACUCCUUCAACUCUACUUAAAACCUCUUCUCUUUAAUUUUUCUUAAGGAACUCAGCAAUACGCGCUUUGCCUGUUUAUUAAAAACAUGGCCUCUUGUACCAAAUAAAAGGUCCAACCUGCCCAGUGAAUAUUUCAACGGCCGCGGUAGCCUGACCGUGCUAAGGUAGCAUAAUCAUUUGCCCUUUAAUUGGGGGCUAGUAUGAAUGGUUACACAAGAGCGCUCCUGUCUCAAGAAAACUGUCAAAAAUUAACCUUUAGGUGCAGAGGCCUAAAUUUAUGUAAAAGACAAAAAGACCCUAUUGAGCUUUAAUCUUUGUUCUUCUUUAACCUAGAAGCAAAAAUUUUUAUUGGGGCAAUAAAGGAGUAUACAUAGCCUCCUAUAUUUAUUCAUCGACUAACAUCUCCAAAAUGAGCCAUUCCGAAUUACUUAUGGAACUAGCUACCUUAGGGAUAACAGACUAAUCCCCUUCGAGAGUCCACAUUGACAAGGGGGCUUGGCACCUCGAUGUUGGCUUAAGAUAACCAUUAUUUAUUUGUCUCGAAGCAGAACUCUAAUAUGGUAGGUUUGUUCAACCUUUAAUAUCUUACAUGAGCUGAGUUUAGACCGACGUAAGUCAGGUCAGAUUCUAUCUUUACACAAAAAGUUUAUUGUUCGUACGAAAGGAUUUCAAUAAAAAAUUUAAUUUUCUCGCUUUUAACUUCUUGAUAUUGCGCCGGACUGAACGGAUA
rnacentral:rRNA from 1 species